AUUGAACGCUGGCGGCAGGCCUAACACAUGCAAGUCGAGCGGAGCGGCGGAAGGGUGCGUUAUGCCUAUUGAUCUGCCUGUUACUGGGGGAUAACGUCAGUAAACGGGCGCUUAUACCACCUCCUAUAACAUGCGCUUAGGUCGGAUUAGCUAGUUGGUGGGGGAAAGGCCUACCAAGGCGACGAUCCGUAACUGGUCUGAGAGGAUGAUCAGUCACACUGGAACUGAGACACGGUCCAGAAUCCUACGGGAGGCAGCAGUGGGGAAUAUUGGACAAUGGGCGAAAGCCUGAUCCAGCCAUGCCGCGUGUGUGAAGAAGGUCUUCGGAUUGUAAAGCACUUUAAGUUGGGAGGCGUUACCAACAGAAUAAGCACCGGCUAACUUCGUGCCAGCCGCCGCGGUAAUAC
rnacentral:rRNA from 1 species